rnacentral:rRNA from 1 species
UUUUUAAUGGUUGACCUCGGAUCAGGUAGGAAUACCCGCUGAACUUAAGCAUAUCAAUAAGCGGAGGAAAA